rnacentral:rRNA from 1 species
CCCUUAGAUGUUCUGGGCCGCACGCGCGCUACACUGACGAAUGCAACGAGCUUAUAACCUUGUCCGAAAGGUCUGGGUAAUCUCCAAAUUUCGUCGUGAUGGGGAUAGAUUAUUGCAAUUAUUAAUCAUCAACGAGGAAUGCCUAGUAAGCGCAAGUCAUCAGCUUGCGUUGAUUACGUCCCUGCCCUUUGUACACACCGCCCGUCGCUCCUACCGAUUGAAUGGUCCGGUGAAGCGUUCGGACCGUGGCCUUUGGACGGUUCGCCGUCUGUUGGCUGCGGGAAGUUCGUUAAACCUUAUCAUUUAGAGGAAGGAGAAGUCGUAACA